UAUUUUGACUAUACGAAGGUAUUGAAAUAAGGCUUUAAAUGAGUGCUAAGAGAAUGGUUAAACGAUUGGAAGCUUUCUUUAAUUAAUAAAUUGAAUUUAAUUUUUUUGUGAAGAAGCAAAAAUUUGAAUUAGGGACAAGAAGACCCUAUGAAUUUUAUAUUAAAUUUACAUAAAAUAUGUUUUUUAAUAAUUUAAUUUGGUUGGGGCGACAGAAAAAGAAUAUAUAUCUUUUGGUGUAAAGUAGUUAAUUUGUUCCGUUAUUAACGAUUAAAUGAGAAAAAUACUCUAGGGAUAACAGCGUAAUAAUUUUGGAUAGUUCAUAUAGAUAAAAUAGUUUGCGACCUCGAUGUUGGAUUAGGAUUCUUUUUUAGUGAAGAAGUUAAAUAAAAGAAGUUUGUUCAACUUUUAAAUUCCU
rnacentral:rRNA from 1 species